GUCGAGGGGUAACAGGAUUUAGUUUACUAGAUUGCUGACGACCGGCGCACGGGUGAGUAACGCGUAUACAAUUUACCUUUUACAGGGGGAUAGCCUUUAGAAAUGAAGAUUAAUACCCCAUGGUAUUAUAGAGUGGCAUCACUUUAUGAUUAAAGCUUCGGCGGUAAGAGAUGAGUAUGCGUCCUAUUAGCUAGAUGGUAAGGUAACGGCUUACCAUGGCGACGAUAGGUAGGGGUCCUGAGAGGGAGAUCCCCCACACUGGUACUGAGACACGGACCAGACUCCUACGGGAGGCAGCAGUGAGGAAUAUUGGUCAAUGGAGGCAACUCUGAACCAGCCAUGCCGCGUGCAGGAAGACGGUCCUAUGGAUUGUAAACUGCUUUUAUAGAGGAAGAAACCUAUCUA
rnacentral:rRNA from 1 species